rnacentral:miRNA from 1 species
ACGAAAACAUGUUGGUCUCACGUG